rnacentral:rRNA from 1 species
GGUUAAGCGACUAAGCGUACACGGUGGAUGCCCCCGGCAGUCAGAGGCGAUGAAGGACGUGCUAAUCUGCGAAAAGCGUCGGUAAGGUGAUAUGAACCGUUACAGCCGGCGAUGUCCGAAUGGGGAAACCCAGUGCAAUUCGUUGCACUAUCGUUAACUGAAUACAUAGGUUAACGAGGCGAACCGGGGGAACUGAAACAUCUAAGUACCCCGAGGAAAAGAAAUCAACCGAGAUUCCCCCAGUAGCGGCGAGCGAACGGGGAGCAGCCCAGAGUCUGAAUCAGCUUGUGUGUUAGUGGAACGGUCUGGAAAGUCCGACGGUACAGGGUGAUAGUCCCGUACACCAAAAUGCACAGGUUGUGAACUCGAAGAGUAGGGCGGGACACGUGGUAUCCUGUCUGAAUAUGGGGGGACCAUCCUCCAAGGCUAAAUACUCCUGACUGACCGAUAGUGAACCAGUACCGUGAGGGAAAGGCGAAAAGAACCCCGGCGAGGGGAGUGAAAAAGAACCUGAAACCGUGUACGUACAAGCAGUGGGAGCACCUUCGGGUGUGACUGCGUACCUUUGUAUAAUGGGUCAGCGACUUAUAUUCUGUAGCAAGGUUAACCGUAUAGGGGAGCCGCAGGGAAACCGAGUCUUAACUGGGCGUUAAGUUGCAGGGUAUAGACCCGAAACCCGGUGAUCUAGCCAUGGGCAGGUUGAAGGUUGGGUAACACUAACUGGAGGACCGAACCGACUAAUGUUGAAAAAUUAGCGGAUGACUUGUGGCUGGGGGUGAAAGGCCAAUCAAACCGGGAGAUAGCUGGUUCUCCCCGAAAGCUAUUUAGGUAGCGCCUCGUGAACUCAUCUUCGGGGGUAGAGCACUGUUUCGGCUAGGGGGUCAUCCCGACUUACCAACCCGAUGCAAACUACGAAUACCGAAGAAUGUUAUCACGGGAGACACACGGCGGGUGCUAACGUCCGUCGUGAAGAGGGAAACAACCCAGACCGCCAGCUAAGGUCCCAAAGUCAUGGUUAAGUGGGAAACGAUGUGGGAAGGCACAGACAGCCGGGAUGUUGGCUUAGAAGCAGCCAUCAUUUAAAGAAAGCGUAAUAGCUCACUGGUCGAGUCGGCCUGCGCGGAAGAUGUAACGGGGCUAAACCAUGCACCGAAGCUGCGGCAGCGACACUAUGUGUUGUUGGGUAGGGGAGCGUUCUGUAAGCCUGCGAAGGUGUGCUGUGAGGCAUGCUGGAGGUAUCAGAAGUGCGAAUGCUGACAUAAGUAACGAUAAAGCGGGUGAAAAGCCCGCUCGCCGGAAGACCAAGGGUUCCUGUCCAACGUUAAUCGGGGCAGGGUGAGUCGACCCCUAAGGCGAGGCCGAAAGGCGUAGUCGAUGGGAAACAGGUUAAUAUUCCUGUACUUGGUGUUACUGCGAAGGGGGGGACGGAGAAGGCUAUGUUAGCCGGGCGACGGUUGUCCCGGUUUAAGCAUGUAGGCUGAUUGUCCGAGGCAAAUCCGGAUAAUCAAGGCUGAGGUGUGAUGACGAGGCACUACGGUGCUGAAGUAACAAAUGCCCUGCUUCCGAGGAAAAGCCUCUAAGCAUCAGGUAACAUUAAAUCGUACCCCAAACCGACACAGGUGGUCAGGUAGAGAAUACCAAGGCGCUUGAGAGAACUCGGGUGAAGGAACUAGGCAAAAUGGUGCCGUAACUUCGGGAGAAGGCACGCUGGUGUGUAGGUGAAGUCCCUGCGGAUGGAGCUGAGACCAGUCGAAGAUACCAGCUGGCUGCAACUGUUUAUUAAAAACACAGCACUGUGCAAACACGAAAGUGGACGUAUACGGUGUGACGCCUGCCCGGUGCCGGAAGGUUAAUUGAUGGGGUUAUCCGUAAGGAGAAGCUCUUGAUCGAAGCCCCGGUAAACGGCGGCCGUAACUAUAACGGUCCUAAGGUAGCGAAAUUCCUUGUCGGGUAAGUUCCGACCUGCACGAAUGGCGUAAUGAUGGCCGGGCUGUCUCCACCCGAGACUCAGUGAAAUUGAACUCGCUGUGAAGAUGCAGUGUACCCGCGGCAAGACGGAAAGACCCCGUGAACCUUUACUAUAGCUUGACACUGAACAUUGAGCCUUGAUGUGUAGGAUAGGUGGGAGGCUUUGAAGCGUGGACGCCAGUCUGCGUGGAGCCAACCUUGAAAUACCACCCUUUAAUGUUUGAUGUUCUAACGUUGGCCCCUGACCGGGGUUGCGGACAGUGUCUGGUGGGUAGUUUGACUGGGGCGGUCUCCUCCCAAAGCGUAACGGAGGAGCACGAAGGUUAGCUAAUCCCCGGUCGGACAUCAGGAGGUUAGUGCAAUGGCAUAAGCUAGCUUGACUGCGAGCGUGACGGCGCGAGCAGGUGCGAAAAGCAGGUCAUAGUGAUCCGGUGGUUCUGAAUGGAAGGGCCAUCGCUCAACGGAUAAAAGGUACUCCGGGGAUAACAGGCUGAUACCGCCCAAGAGUUCAUAUCGACGGCGGUGUUUGGCACCUCGAUGUCGGCUCAUCACAUCCUCGGGGCUGAAGUAGGUCCCAAGGGUAUGGCUGUUCGCCAUUUAAAGUGGUACGCGAGCUGGGUUUAGAACGUCGUGAGACAGUUCGGUCCCUAUCUGCCGUGGGCGCUGGAGAAUUGAGGGGGGCUGCUCCUAGUACGAGAGGACCGGAGUGGACGCAUCACUGGUGUUCGGGUUGUCAUGCCAAUGGCACUGCCCGGUAGCUAAAUGCGGAAGAGAUAAGUGCUGAAAGCAUCUAAGCACGAAACUUGCCCCGAGAUGAGUUCUCCCUGAGACUUUAAGUCUCCUGAAGGAACGUUAAAGACGAUGACGUUGAUAGGCCGGGUGUGUAAGCGCAGCGAUGCGUUGAGCUAACCGGUACUAAUGAACCGUGAGGCUUAACCUU